GAUAUUCCUCCAGAAGCUUUACCAGUGAUCCCCACCUACAGAGAGUCCCUACAGCAUGACGUAUACAAUCCCAGAAAAUUCGCUAAGAACAGUGAUGCUCCGAUUCGGAAAACAAGUAAGCAUAUCUCGUUGACGGAAUUCAACGAUUCGUCGAGGACUGACGAAAGUUUCUUUACGUUCUGGAAUAAUAAAUUCACUUAGCAGCACCUGAGCAGUCCCGCCAAAUCGUCCUGAUACCAGCACAUUCCAUACCCUCCCUUUACACAUUCCACCCAAACUUUUCCAGCGAGGUGGUCGGAAGGAAAGAAGCGACCUCUCCCGGAGAGAAGGGGUGGUUACUCCAAGGAACAUUACGAUCGAAUGAUGUCAUGUCCUGGAAUUUGUUAGAAUUUAUAUCUGUAUGGUUGAUCUUGAUAAAUAAAUUUUUAUGGACUUUA